rnacentral:lncRNA from 1 species
UAGAAAGGCUUUUAAGUAUUGCCGGAAAGGUGUACAGAACUGAUCGCUGUUCUCUUAAUGGCAUCACAUUUAAACCACUUAUGAUGAUUAUAAAGUGCAAUGGACAUAUUACCAGUAUUUGAAGUCUAUGUCCCUAACACUGUAUACAUAUGUACAUAUACCUCUGUUUUUGAAAUGCUUUUUGUUUUUAUAUUGAAAAAGUAAUGUGUAAUGUAAUGCAUUACACAGGCAAAGUAAUUGUAAUGUAAUGCAUUACAUGUGAGAAAAAAUGUAAUUGUAAUUGUAAUUGUAAUGGAAGAAUCACAAAGUAAUUGUAAUGUAAUGCAUUACAUUGCAAUGUAAUGGCCCCAGGCCUGAGUGGUAUAAAGUAA